UACGUAGGGCGCAAGCGUUAUCCGGAAUUAUUGGGCGUAAAGAGCUCGUAGGCGGUUUGUCGCGUCUGCCGUGAAAGUCCGGGGCUCAACUCCGGAUCUGCGGUGGGUACGGGCAGACUAGAGUGAUGUAGGGGGAGACUGGAAUUCCUGGUGUAGCGGUGAAAUGCGCAGAUAUCAGGAGGAACACCGAUGGCGAAGGCAGGGUCUCUGGGCCGAUACUGACGUGAGGAGCGAAAGACGUGGGGAGCGAACAGG
rnacentral:rRNA from 1 species